rnacentral:lncRNA from 1 species
CCUGACACAGCCUUGGGUCCUGUCCCUGCUCAGCAGAGAGAAGAGCUCAACACUCAAUUACCACUCAGCUCCUUCCUCCCACAGCAAGCACUGAGGGACAUUUAAAAACACAAAACAACAACAAAAACAAUCCAAUCCAUUUCCAGGUAUCUCUGAACCCCAGCAGCUCCUCUGCCUCCUGGGGGUACAAACACCUCACCCUUCCUGCCCCAUCAGGUGUUUCUGGACUUGGCCACACGUUUCCAUCCCAGGGCUCCCAACUGCAAGCCCAGACUCCCAGCAGCAGCUCCUGGACUGAGAAUGAAGGAGCAGCAAACCCUUUAAAAGGGAUUUGGCCGUCCCUGUUUGUUUAUUUUGGGCUUUCUCCAUCUCCCCACAGGUUUGUGCCGUGAGCAGCAAAGCCCAGCAGAGCGAGGCUGAGGAACCAGAGGGAUCUUACAUAACCCUCCAGCAGGGCUGGCUGGGCAGCAGGGAUCCCACAGGAUCCCCUGCAAUUCCCAGCAGAGCUCCCCCAGCAGCUCGGGGAGCAGCAGCACUCUGCAGAAUAAGCCUGGCAUGGGACGGUCCCGCGGUCCCAGGUGGGCACGGUGGGCAGCAAACCCCGCUGGGCACUGCCAGGAGCGAGGCUGGCACAUACCAGUCACAACAAUCCCACCCAGGAGAGGCUCAGGGCACUCCCAGAUUAACCCCGGGGCAAACUGGGCCAGGAGCUGCUCAGGUAACUGGUUUAACAUUGAGCAGGGACACGGGCAGCACUGGUGCCCCCUCCACAGGAACUGGAGCAAGGAUGGCACAAAAAUCACGGCGUUUAAAGCACUUCAGUGUGGGCUGGGCCGGCAGUGAUGCCCUCACUUUAACCGCCCUCCCUGACCUGUGUUUGUGCCCAAACCCCCGGGAUUUUGGGGAGAAAAGGGGCGGUUUUAUAACAGGAACUCCACUCCAGAGAAUCGGGCUGUCAAACGUGGCAGCAGUUUCCAUUCUGUGCCACUGUCCCCUGCUGAUGGAGGGACAGGAUGGCAGCCUCGGGGCAUUCUGCUGCCGGGCUGUCCUGAGCUCGAC